AGGGUUCGAUUCUGGCUCAGGACGAACGCUGGCGGCGUGCCUAACACAUGCAAGUCGAGCGGGGAUUUAUUGCGGAAGGUUUCGGCUGGAAGGAAUAAAUUCUAGCGGCGGACGGGUGAGUAACGCGUGAACAAUCUGUCCCGGACAGGGGGAUAACACUUGGAAACAGGUGCUAAUACCGCAUAAGACCACAGCAUCGCAUGGUGCAGAGGUAAAAGGAGGAAUCCGGUUCGGGGUGAGUUCGCGUCCGAUUAGCUGGUUGGUGAGGUAACGGCCCACCAAGGCGACGAUCGGUAGCCGGCCUGAGAGGGUGAACGGCCACAUUGGAACUGAGAGACGGUCCAA
rnacentral:rRNA from 1 species